GAAAAUUGGUCUAAUACCGUAUGAGGUCAUACGAUGGCAUCAGAAUAUGACGAAAGGUUUGGCGGUGAAGGAUGGGGAUGCGUCUGAUUAGCUUGUUGGUGAGGUAACGGCUCACCAAGGCGACGAUCAGUAGGGGUUCUGAGAGGAAGGUCCCCCACAUUGGAACUGAGACACGGUCCAAACUCCUACGGGAGGCAGCAGUGAGGAAUAUUGGUCAAUGGGCGAGAGCCUGAACCAGCCAAGUAGCGUGCAGGACGACGGCCCUAUGGGUUGUAAACUGCUUUUAUAUGGGGAUAAAGUGAGUUACGUGUAGCUUAUUGCAGGUACCAUAUGAAUAAGGACCGGCUAAUUCCGUGCCAGCAGCCGCGGUAAUACGGAAGGUCCAGGCGUUAUCCGGAUUUAUUGGGUUUAAAGGGAGCGUAGGCCGCCCCUUAAGCGUGUUGUGAAAUGCCGCGGCUCAACCGUGGCACUGCAGCGCGAACUGGGGGGCUUGAGUGCACGCAACGCAGGCGGAAUUCGUGGUGUAGCGGUGAAAUGCUUAGAUAUCACGAAGAACUCCGAUUGCGAAGGCAGCUUGCGGGAGUGCGACUGACGCUGAAGCUCGAAGGUGCGGGUAUCGAACAGGAUUAGAUACCCUGGUAGUCCGCACAGU
rnacentral:rRNA from 1 species